ACUCUAGGAAGAUGAUACCUUUUCAGAUUGUCAGGUUGGGCUGGGGAUGGGCAACCCGGCUUCUGCUGAAGUGCUGUUGGGAGGGCUAAUUAGGGAUCCGAGCUCACUGUUAACACACGGGCCUCACUGGACAAAGGGCUGACGUGAAUUGAAGUCAGUAUAUAGUCUGAGUUCUCUUUCCAUCCUGAGCACCAUCUCCCUAUUGCCUUAGAGGCAGGCGGGAGCGCUUCUUGCUACUAAACAGAAAAGGAGGAGACUACUGUUGGCCGCGGAUCUGAAAAGGUUUGAAUGAUUACAGGCUAUCUGAAGGCGAAGCAGAAGAUCAUAACGCGUCCAAGACUGCGUUGACUAUACCCCUUUCCGGCCCCUACGCCGAUUUAUUUUAGGGGGAAAAAAUGGUGGGCUUGGGGGAGGGAUCUGGGAUGGGAAUGGCGGUCAGGUUUGUGUACCGGGCCCCUAUUGUAUUGAAAGCAAGCUAGCUUCUCGCUCAGGGAAAGGGGAGGAGAAAAAUGUCCUGGCUCUCCGCAAGUCAAGUCGGUGUGAGGGGAGGAAUCACCUGCAAACCUCUGGAAUGGAAAACGGACACCGCAGCGGGUCUUGUACUGCAGUUCCCACAGCCACGCCCCCUGCCCAUUUUAAUUCAGAAAAUGGUGGGCAGUGGGGAAUGCUGGGGAGAUGAGCAGAAACCCUGUGUGGAUGUUAGCUUCCUAUUACAGAGGAUGUGGGAGUUUUGAGCGAAAGAUGGAAAAAGAGGGUUGCUGUGAGCUGACUGCAUCCUGAAGAUUACAGCUACUGUCAGAUGGACCUUUCCACACAGCUGUAUACCAUUCCAGUAACCCCUCCCUUACCUCCCACUCCCUCUGCUCCUCCCCACUUCCUUUCCUCUCGUCUCCUUUGCAGAGGGGUAGUAACACUAUGUUAUGCCCUGAAUUGUGCACCCACCCCUCCCCACACCCACCAAAUUCAUGUUGAAGUCCUAAUCCCCAAUACCUCAGCAUGUGACUGUAGUUGGAAAUAGGGUCUUUAAAGAGAUAGCUAAAUUAAAUGAGGUCAUUGGGGUGGGUCCUAAUCCAGUGACUAGUGUCCUUAGAAGAGAUUAGGACACAGAUACAGAGAAAAAGGCCAUGUGAUGACAGGGAGGACAGCUGUGUAGAAGCCAAAGAGAGAGGCCUCAAAAAAAAUCCUCUGGCAACACCUUGAUCUGACUUCCAACAUCCAGAACUGUGAGAAAAUAAAUUUAUUGUUUAAGCCA